UGGCCGUGGUUCUGUGGGUCAUGGGCUGCUCUUUUCUAAACAAAUGUAUGUACCUCAAGCUUCAGCAACUGAUUCAGCUUUAGCAGCUGAAUGCUGAGACACCAAGGGUUCGUUUCAAUUGGCUUGCUUGAGAAAGCACUGGGAAGGAAAGCAGUUUCACUGACUUAUUGGGUUGUAUGGUGCAUGUUGGUAUUUUAUGCCACCCAAAUCCCCAACACAAAAACACUGUCCCAGUCUUAUUCCAGGGAAGCACCUGUAGAAACCCCUGUGAUGACAUUUACUGCUCUGUUGGGCUCUUCCACUUUCCAGCUAUUUUUGACUGCUGCAGGGACUGGCCACAGAAGAAAGAGCGGAUUCAUUCCUUCAGCCUAAGAUCUUGCAGAAACAACAGUAAAAUGAAAGACUGUGGAGAAUAGAAGUGACAGAAACUGGAGAGAGGGGUUCAAGGAAGUAUUUUCAGAUGGUGUUCACUUACUUCUGGUAUUUUCCAUUGUAGGUUUUUUCUAGAUCUUUUUCCAUUACUGAAUAUACAAAAACAGUCAUUGCUUAAGAAUUAAACUAAUCCAAUAAAAGUUAUACACUUGGCUGCUUUC